UGGCUUUGGAUGGUCAAUAGGGGCGGAGGCAAGAAUAUUUUUCAGUGCAGGCACAAUUUAAUGCCGAAUUUUGAGUUUUUGACUAUGAAUUUAAUGAUGAUAAAAAUAUAAAAUAAUAUUACGGCAAUACUAAAAAUGACACAGCUAAGCCAAUCACCUUGCAGUUGGCAGUAGCACGCUUCUCAAGAACUGAAGCCUGUGAUUUGUAUAUGAAACAUUCUUUAAUAUCACAUGAUUCACAUCUUUCCUCUUUCCUCUUUCCUGGGAAAACCACCAACCAUCACUGUAAUGUUGAGUCCAUUGUAUACUUCAACAACAUUAGUUGUUGCAACACCACUUGAUUUAAAUAGAUACAAGUUAUCUACUUUUAAGUUUUAACUUAUAUCUCAUCUGGCACACAAAAUGUCAAAAUACAUGAAACUAUUUACUAUUAUUUUCACUACUUAGGAGUAAAUUACUAACCUUUGAGAAGAGGGAAUGCAUCAUUGACCAAUCCCAUCUCACCCCAUUAAGUGCCUCAGCAGCAGGAGGAAUAUCUAGCAUGUGAAGGAAUAAGGAUGAUGGAUCGGUCAGUGCCCAACAUCACAUCCCUAGCAAUCAUAAGAGCAAGAGCAUAUCCAAUUUGCCCUAC
rnacentral:lncRNA from 1 species